rnacentral:tRNA from 1 species
GCGGCGAUGGUCUAACGGUAUGACUCGAGCCUUCCACCGCACUUUUUUGCCUGCAGGCAAAAACCUGCACUAAAAAGUGUUGAAGAAAGCUCGUGGCCCGGGUUCGACUCCCGGUCGCCGCA